AAAAACCCUCUUCUAACAGCAGAUCCUUUUCUUCCUGCUCCUCUGCAGUCAGUGGUUCUCCCAGAUCUUCAGGCUCCUCGCCAUCACUUAUUGUAUCUUUCGCAUGAUUCUUUUGAUGAGCUUGCAUGAGACACCGGACUUCUUUUUCAUAUAGCUCACUUAGCCUUUUAGUGUUAAAAAACUGGAAAUCGUGUAACUGGGGCAUGCGAGGAAUUCGUGGCUCCUUUGCUUUUGCUGGAGCACCUUGGCGCAUUGUUUGCUUGAAAUAUUCAGACUCGGAGUAAUUGCGCUUACGCUCCCUUCUUGAAGGCUCAACCCAAUUAUCACUAACAAUUUU
rnacentral:misc_RNA from 1 species